rnacentral:rRNA from 1 species
CAGUAGCCGCGGGAAAACCAGCACCUCGAGUGGUCAGGAGGUUUAUUGGGCCUAAAGCAUCCGUAGCCGGUUGUUUAAGUUUUCGGUUAAAUCUAUGCGCUUAACGUAUAGGCUGCCGAAAAUACUGGACAGCUAGGGAGUGGGAGAGGUACACGGUACUCAAUAGGAAGGGGUAAAAUCCUUUGAUCUGUUGAUGACCACCUGUGGCGAAGGCGGUGUACCAGAACACGUUCGACGGUGAGGGAUGAAAGCUGGGGGAGCAAACCGGAUUAGAUACCCCCGUAGUCCCUGUCUCUUAUAC